AGAGUUUGAUCAUGGCUCAGGAUGAACGCUAGCGGCAGGCUUAACACAUGCAAGUCGAGGGGCAGCACGGGUAGCAAUAUCUGGUGGCGACCGGCGCAAGGGUGCGUAACGCGUGAGCAACGUGCCCGUAUCAGGGGAAUAAUCCAGGGAAACUUGGUCUAAUACCCCAUAGUAAAUAUUAAAGGCAUCUUUAAUAUUUUAAAGCUUUGGUGGAUACGGAUUGGCUCGCGUGACAUUAGCUAGACGGUAAGGUAACGGCUUACCAUGGCUACGAUGUCUAGGGGUUCUGAGAGGAAGAUCCCCCACACUGGAACUGAGACACGGUCCAGACUCCUACGGGAGGCAGCAGUGAGGAAUAUUGGACAAUGGAUGGAAAUCUGAUCCAGCCAUGCCGCGUGCAGGAAGACGGCCCUAUGGGUUGUAAACUGCUUUUAUAUGGGAGCAAUAAGACCUACGUGUAGGUUGAUGAGAGUACCAUAUGAAUAAGCACCGGCUAACUCCGUGCCAGCAGCCGCGGUAAUACGGAGGGUGCAAGCGUUAUCCGGAUUUAUUGGGUUUAAAGGGUGCGUAGGCGGUUUGAUAAGUCAGCGGUGAAAUAUUUCAGCUUAACUGGAAGGGUGCCGUUGAUACUGUCAGGCUUGAAUUUAGUUGCUGUGGGUGGAAUGUGUGGUGUAGCGGUGAAAUGCAUAGAUAUCACACAGAAUAUCGAUUGCGAAGGCAGCUCACAAAGCUAAUAUUGACGCUGAUGCACGAAAGUGUGGGGAUCAAACAGGAUUAGAUACCCUGGUAGUCCACACUGUAAACGAUGAUAACUCGCUGUCGGCGAUACAUAGUCGGUGGCCAAGCGAAAGCGAUAAGUUAUCCACCUGGGGAGUACGACCGCAAGGUUGAAACUCAAAGGAAUUGACGG
rnacentral:rRNA from 1 species